AUUGAACGCUGGCGGCAUGCUUUACACAUGCAAGUCGAACGGCAGCACGGGUGCUUGCACCUGGUGGCGAGUGGCGAACGGGUGAGUAAUGCAUCGGAACGUACCCAGUCGUGGGGGAUAACUAGUCGAAAGACUAGCUAAUACCGCAUACGUCCUGAGGGAGAAAGCGGGGGACCGAAAGGCCUCGCGCGAUUGGAGCGGCCGAUGUCAGAUUAGCUAGUUGGUGGGGUAAAGGCCCACCAAGGCGACGAUCUGUAGCGGGUCUGAGAGGAUGAUCCGCCACACUGGGACUGAGACACGGCCCAGACUCCUACGGGAGGCAGCAGUGGGGAAUUUUGGACAAUGGGGGCAACCCCGAUCCAGCCAUGCCGCGUGCGGGAAGAAGGCCUUCGGGUUGUAAACCGCUUUCGGACGGAAAGAAAUCGCACAGGUUAAUACCUUGUGUGGAUGACGGUACCGUAAGAAGAAGCACCGGCUAACUACGUGCCAGCAGCCGCCGCUGUAA
rnacentral:rRNA from 1 species